GCAGUCGAGGGGCAGCAUGGUCUUAGCUUGCUAAGGCCGAUGGCGACCGGCGCACGGGUGAGUAACACGUAUCCAACCUGCCGUCUACUCUUGGACAGCCUUCUGAAAGGAAGAUUAAUACAAGAUGGCAUCAUGAGUCCGCAUGUUCACAUGAUUAAAGGUAUUCCGGUAGACGAUGGGGAUGCGUUCCAUUAGAUAGUAGGCGGGGUAACGGCCCACCUAGUCUUCGAUGGAUAGGGGUUCUGAGAGGAAGGUCCCCCACAUUGGAACUGAGACACGGUCCAAACUCCUACGGGAGGCAGCAGUGAGGAAUAUUGGUCAAUGGGCGAGAGCCUGAACCAGCCAAGUAGCGUGAAGGAUGACUGCCCUAUGGGUUGUAAACUUCUUUUAUAAAGGAAUAAAGUCGGGUAUGGAUACCCGUUUGCAUGUACUUUAUGAAUAAGGAUCGGCUAACUCCGUGCCAGCAGCCGCGGUAAUACGGAGGAUCCGAGCGUUAUCCGGAUUUAUUGGGUUUAAAGGGAGCGUAGAUGGAUGUUUAAGUCAGUUGUGAAAGUUUGCGGCUCAACCGUAAAAUUGCAGUUGAUACUGGAUAUCUUGAGUGCAGUUGAGGCAGGCGGAAUUCGUGGUGUAGCGGUGAAAUGCUUAGAUAUCACGAAGAACUCCGAUUGCGAAGGCAGCCUGCUAAGCUGCAACUGA
rnacentral:rRNA from 1 species